UUGCAGCCAAUUAAGCUGACCAUGCUCUUUUCCCUGAGGGGGCCUGGUGUGCAAUGGCUGCAAACAGCAGCCUCCUUGCUAGUGUGUGUACAAAGCCUGCUGCCUGUAUGCAUCGCCCUAAGGGACCUUGGAGACAGCC
ensembl:snoRNA SNORA70 Small nucleolar RNA SNORA70